rfam:Ictidomys tridecemlineatus contig115872, whole genome shotgun sequence.
GGGGAUAUAGCUCAGUUGGUACAGUGCUUGCCUCUUAUGCAAAAGCCCUGGGUUCAAUCCUCAGUACCACCA